GGCCGCGGGAAUUCGAUUCAGGCCUAACACAUGCAAGUCGAGCGGUAGAGAGAAGCUUGCUUCUCUUGAGAACGGCGGACGGGUGAGUAAUGCCUAGGAAUCUGCCUGGUAGUGGGGGCUAACGUUGGGAAACGGACGCUAAUACCGCAUACGUCCUACGGGAGAAAGCAGGGGACCUUCGGGCCUUGCGCUAUCAGAUGAGCCUAGGUCGGAUUAGCUAGUUGGUGAGGUAAUGGCUCACCAAGGCUACGAUCCGUAACUGGUCUGAGAGGAUGAUCAGUCACACUGGAAGGGAGACGCGGUCCAGACUCCUACGGGAGGCAGCAGUGGGGAAUAUUGGACAAUGGGCGAAAGCCU
rnacentral:rRNA from 1 species